rnacentral:rRNA from 1 species
UGAGUAACACGUAUCCAACCUGCCGUCUACUCUUGGACAGCCUUCUGAAAGGAAGAUUAAUACAAGAUGGCAUCAUGAGUCCGCAUGUUCACAUGAUUAAAGGUAUUCCGGUAGACGAUGGGGAUGCGUUCCAUUAGAUAGUAGGCGGGGUAACGGCCCACCUAGUCUUCGAUGGAUAGGGGUUCUGAGAGGAAGGUCCCCCACAUUGGAACUGAGACACGUCCAA